CAGCUUUGGAUGUACAUGUAGGACAUUAGUCUAGGUUCUGGAAUUCAUUUGUCUCUCUCUCUUUUUCAGCUAUUUUUAACCUGGAUGUGUUCUGUGAUUUGUUUCCCACACAGCAUUGAAACUGGCACAGCUGAGGGGUUGGCGGAAAUGAAGUUGCACCAAGAAGUCCAAGAGCAAUCAGGAGAGACUUCAGGGCUUCAGGAUGGUUGCUUAAGGGGUCGGGAGCACAGGUACUGUUCUCCCUUAUAAUUCCAAUUGCAGGGAAUGAUGAGGGAAGAAACAGAAAGAGCCAGCAAAUCAAUACCUGGCUCUGAGCCUGGUGUCACUGCAAAAUUUUGACAUUUUUGAUUGUGGGUUGGUUUACAUGACAGCAUUGCUGCUGGUGACAGGCAGAGCACUGAAUACCUGUCUCAAAGUGGGAAAGGAAUCUUUGCAUCGGAUAUUAGGAAAUACUUUUUCACUGAAAGGGUUGUCAAGCAUUGUAACAGGCUGACCAAGGAAGUGGUUGAGUCACCAUCCCUGGAAGUAUGUAAAUGGUGCGUAGCUGUGGCACUGAGGGACAUGGUUUAGCGGUGGACUUGGCAGUGAUGUACUAAUGGUUGGUCUUGAAGAUCUUAUAACUCUUUUCCAACAUAAAUGAUUCUAUGAUUCCAUUCUGACCUAUCCAUUUGCCUUUAAAAAAAAAUACCCAAGAUCCUUUCUGUAGGUAGGUCAGAACUUAGUUGUCUUGUAAGCAGUAGCAAACGUUCAUAUACCAGUAAGACCAUGUAAAGCUGUGUGUGCGUAUAAAAUGUUGUUAAUUCCCAGCACAUGCUGGUACUCCUCCAGCUCCAAAGCAUGCAUACAAUCCAGUAUGUGUAGCAGCUCCCCCCAGGCCUUCUGACAGUAUCCCUGACAGAUGAAAAUGUGUUUCAUGCGGGUGGGCUUUCUAAUUGCAGCACAUUCCAGCAAGGUGCAGUGUUGGGUGCUAGUGCAGCUCUGAGGGAACUGUAGCUGCUCUGUGUGCAUUUUUCCAUGAUGCCAUCUUUGCUUUCCAUUUUGUCUCAAUUCAGUUGUAAUUAGGAUCAUCAUAGCUACCACAAUACUGCUGCUGCAGAGCUCCCCAAAAUGACUGGCCCUGUCAGGGUACCUGGGACAGUGAGCAAAGGUUGUGGGGCCGCUGUCUGUCAGCUGAGGAGAACAAACGGAGCUGCUGGGAACAAGUCAUUGUGGACUGAAUAUAGUUUGGGGUGAAAAGGCUAGCACAGGC
rnacentral:lncRNA from 1 species